rnacentral:misc_RNA from 1 species
CCUGAAAGAACCUGCCUUUGUAGUGCUCACACAGAUUGUCUGAUAGAUGUAAAGAAGCAAGACGGCUGCGAAGUCGCGACACCUCGUGUCCCCUUCGUCUAGCGGUUAGGACUCCGCCCUUUCACGGCGGCAACAGGGGUUCGAAUCCCCUAGGGGACGCCACUUGCUGGCUGUGAGUGAAAGGCACAACCAACCGAUAUCUCAAAACUCAUCUUCGGGUGACGUUUGAGAUAUUUGCUCUUUAAAAAUCUGGAUCAAGCUGAAAAUUGAAACGACACACAGCUAAUGUGUGUUCGAGUCUCUCAAAUUUUCGCGACACGAUGAUGUUUCACGAAACAUCUUCGGGUUGUGA